rnacentral:tRNA from 1 species
ACCUGGUUAGCUCAGUUGGUAGAGCGCUCCACUUGUAAUGGAGAGGUCCCGGGUUCGAUACCCGGACCAGGCA